UUGACUUGUCAAAGAUGCAUAAUUCCAAAUUUAUAAAGCAUUAUAUAGCAAAGACGCAUGUAAGAUACUGUGAUGAUAUAUAGAGAUUUAUAGUGAAAAGAUAGAUGGCUAGACACUUUUCAAAUGGAGGUGAAGAAGGUUUGGUGCUUCAUUCUGCACCAGUAUUUAUGUUUCUCAUGAUUUUUGCUUCUCUUUCCAUCAUUUCAAUCAUCAUAUUUGCUUGUGGAGACGACAACAAAAGUACCAAGCGUAGGCGUGGUGGUGGAGGGGGUGGCGGUGGAUGGGGAGGUGAUGGCGGAGGUGGCGGUGGAGAUGGUGGCGGCGGAUGCGGAAGUGGUGGAGGAGGUGGCGGAUGCGGAGGUGGUGGAGGAGGUGGCGGAUGCGGAGGUGGUGGUGGAUGCGGAGGUGGUGGAGGAGGUGGUACAGGAGGUGGCGGAUGCUGAGGUGGCAGAGGAGGAAGUGAUGCGGAAUAUGCGGUGGAUUUUAGAAGCUAUUAGCGAAGUGCAUAGCAGACUGCACGUUGAACGUAUUCUUGGUCACAGUCUCUUGUUAGGAAGAAAAAGAAAACUAUAUGAUUAUGAAGUGCAGGUUUGUGAUAUAUAUCCAUUAGAGACCUUAAACGUGUCUUUUUACAUUGG
rnacentral:lncRNA from 1 species